AACGAACGCUGGCGGCAUGCCUAACACAUGCAAGUCGAACGAGACCUUCGGGUCUAGUGGCGCACGGGUGCGUAACGCGUGGGAACCUGCCCUUAGGUUCGGAAUAACUCCCCGAAAGGGGUGCUAAUACCGGAUAAUGUCUUCGGACCAAAGAUUUAUCGCCUUUGGAUGGGCCCGCGUUGGAUUAGCUAGUUGGUAGGGUAAAAGCCUACCAAGGCGACGAUCCAUAGCUGGUCUGAGAGGAUGAUCAGCCACACUGGGGCUGAGACACGGCCCAGACUCCUACGGGAGGCAGCAGUGGGGAAUAUUGGACAAUGGGCGCAAGCCUGAUCCAGCAAUGCCGCGUGAGUGAUGAAGGCCUUAGGGUUGUAAAGCUCUUUUACCCGGGAUGAUAAUGACGGUACCGGGAGAAUAAGCUCCGGCUAACUCCGUG
rnacentral:rRNA from 1 species